GUUACUAGGAGAGAAAGGACUUGCCAGGUAGAAGAAACUGCACACUUAAUGCAGGGAAGCAAGAGAGUGAGUGGGCUGGGUGUCAGGGACUUCGGGUAGUCAUAAAUGUCAGGAGCUCUGGGAGGUGUGGGGACCUGGCUGGGGAGGCCCCUGACUUACUGUGUCAGCAGAAAGCAACGUUGGAGGGCAAACCCAGCCCCUUCUGCUCCCAGUCUAGGGCAGCCACCCAGCGGCUACAUGGAAGCUGGAUCUCUUCCCGCGGAGCUUUCAAAUUCCCCAGUACAGAGCCAGCCAUUCCACCCAGCUAUGGGAAGGGCCUGUGCCAGGUGAGAAGGGGGCAGGGCAGGGCACAGAACGGGCACCUCACCCACCAGGAUGUGUUCCUUUCCUCACCUCAGACACUGGCUCCUGGAUGCCACGCUGUUUUCAUUCAUUUGCUUUAUCCUGACUCUGCCAGCAAGCUGCAAGGACCAGGGGAACUGCCCCAGCUGGUCUGACUGGUUGGCCUGCAGCUCACAGGUCCUCUCUCUCCCAGAGGGCUCCUGCGUCUCCCCUGCUCUCCCCAGCUCUGACAUGUUCCCAUUGGCUGAAGUGGCUUCUCCUAGCCAGUGCGCAUCACUUGGCACCACACUCAUCCCUCCAAGAACGUGAUGGAAAGCACUGUGAUGUUUUAACUUCUGUAUUUUUCCGUGCCUCCUGGCCCCAUCUGCAGACUGAGAAAUUCAGCUCUAGACUCUGUGAGAAAAUGGAGAAAUGUGAACUCAAACCCAAAAAUGAAAGUCCAGAAGAAAGCCCACGCCUUCACGGGAAUGGGUACAGCCUGGGUGACACCAUCUACCCCAUGAAGAAACAGGGUCACGAGAUUGUCAUAUUAUUUUUUACAAUAAGAAUUUUAAAAUUAAAAUAAACUUUUAAGUUCUGCUA